rnacentral:rRNA from 1 species
CAGUAGUCAUAUGCUUGUCUCAAAGAUUAAGCCAUGCAUGUCUCAGUGCAAGCCGUCCUGUACGGUGAAACCGCGAAAGGCUCAUUAAAUCAGUUAUGGUUCCUUAGAUAGUACCCACGUUACUUGGAUAACUGUGGUAAUUCUAGAGCUAAUACAUGCCGACAGAGUUCCGACCAGCGUCGCGGCGGCUUGCCGUUCGCGACGUUCGGAAGGAGCGCUUUUAUUAGAUCAAAAUCGGCCAAGCGCAACGUUCGCGUAGCGUUAGUGGCCCGCGCAAAGACUUGACGACUCUGAAUAACUUCGAGCUGAUCGCACGGUCUCGCACCGGCGACGUAUCUUUCAAAUGUCUGCCUUAUCAACUGUCGACGGUACGUUCGAUGCUUACCGUGGUGGUAACGGGUAACGGGGAAUCAGGGUUCGAUUCCGGAGAGGGAGCCUGAGAAACGGCUACCACAUCCAAGGAAGGCAGCAGGCGCGCAAAUUACCCACUCCCAGCUCGGGGAGGUAGUGACGAAAAAUAACGAUACGGGACUCAUCCGAGGCCCCGUA